GACAGAGAAACCACGUCUGAGGGCAGGAAGACCGCAUGAUUCACUGGGGACGGUUUGCUUUAGCCCUAGAGGUGCUUCGUGUGGGGAAUGGGAUUUCCAUUUCCCAACGUUUCCUUUGGUGGAUUUCCCUGGCAAGGAAUCACUAACUGCGCCGGCCUGGUGCCAAUGGCUGACGCUCAGAUCAGAGGCUGGGAGAAGAAGGAUGCUGCUGAUCCUGGACUGAACUUCUGGUGCCCGGGAAAACCAAACCGCUCCCAGUUUCCACGACGAGCUGAGGCUCCCUGCCCCGCUCCUGAGAGGAGAUUCCCUGUGGCCGGGAAAGCCUCUCCUGCCUUGGAUCGCAAGGAGCCGCGACAGGAACUCCCCCCAGCCUCUGCUGUGCAGAAAGCACGUUCCUCAGCAGAGCCAGAGAAUUCUUGCAACCGCAAACGUCUUGAUCUCGUCUUCAUCAUCGACAGCUCGCGCAGUGUACGUCCUUACGACUUUGAAAAAGUGAAGGAAUUCAUUUUAACCAUCUUGCAGUUCCUAGACAUCAGUCCUGACAUCACCAGAGUAGGCCUCAUUCAGUAUGGCAGCACAGUCAAACAUGAGUUUUCAUUGAAGACGUUCAGGAGGAAACAUGAUGUGGAACGAGCAGUGAAAAGAAUGAUGCACCUGGCCACUGGCACCAUGACUGGGCUGGCUAUUCAGUAUGCACUGAACAUUGCAUUUUCAGAAUCGGAAGGGGCACGGCCACUGAGCCAGAAUGUGCCCAGAAUUAUCAUGAUAGUGACAGAUGGGAGACCACAGGAUCCCGUGGCAGAGGUUGCAGCUAAAGCCCGGAACUCAGGCAUCCUGAUUUUUGCCAUUGGUGUGGGGAGAGUGGAUAUGAACACCUUGAAGUCCAUUGGAAGUGAACCUCAUGAAGAGCAUGUCUUUUUGGUGGCUAAUUUCAGUCAGAUUGAAACGCUAACCUCUGCAUUCCAGACUAAACUUUGCGUGCCCCAUGUGUGCAGUAUAACUGAGCAUGGUUGUGAUCACUUCUGUAUUAACACCCCUGGCUCCUACAUGUGCAAAUGUAAACAGGGAUACACUCUGAACGCUGACCAGAAGACUUGCAGCACCCAGGACCUAUGUGCUGUGGAGAAACAUGCCUGUGAACAGAUCUGUGUGAACACACCUGGGUCCUAUGUCUGUCAGUGUUAUGAUGGCUAUGGGCUCGAUGAAGAUGGAAAGAAGUGUAUCGUUGUAGACCUUUGUGCUUUGGAUAACCAAGGUUGUCAACAUGAGUGUGUAAGUGUGGAUGACUCCUACUACUGUAGAUGCCAUCAAGGAUUUAUUCUAAAUCCAGACAGAAGAACUUGCAGAAGACCAGAUUACUGUGCUUUGCAGACCCAUGGCUGUCAACAGGAAUGUGUUAAUACAAAUGAUUCCUAUUUUUGUCAAUGCCAACACGGGUUUACUCUUAAUCCAGAUAAGAGAACUUGCAAAAGAAUAAACUUCUGUGCUUUGGGUAAACAUGGCUGUGAACAGGAAUGUGUUAACACAGAAGACUCUUUUGUGUGCAGAUGUCAUAGUGGAUACACCCUAAACCGUGAUGGCAAAACGUGCAGAAGAGUGGAUCACUGUGCUGAGAACAACCAUGGCUGUGAGCAGCUGUGCCUGAACACAGGCGACUCAUAUGUCUGUCAGUGUUCUGAAGGAUUCAUCAUUAAUGAAGACCUAAAAACCUGCACACGAGUGGACUAUUGUGCACUGAGUGACCCUGGUUGUGAACAUUUGUGUGUAAACAGUGAAAAAUCUUAUACUUGUCAGUGCUUUGAAGGAUAUGAGCUUCGUGAUGAUGGGAAAACUUGUAAACAUAAAGACCUCUGCAAAUCAGUUGACCAUGGUUGUGAACAUGUUUGUGUUAAUAGUGACAAUUCAUACAUCUGCAAGUGCCGUAAGGGAUUUGCACUGCGGGAAGAUGGGAAAACGUGCAGAAAUAAAGACCUCUGCAAAUCAGUUGACCAUGGUUGUGAACAUGUUUGUGUUAAUAUGGACAAUUCCUACAUCUGCAAGUGCCGUAAGGGAUUUGUACUGCGGGAGGAUGGGAAAACGUGCAGAAAUAAGGAUGUCUGCAAAUCAUUUGACCAUGGUUGUGAACAUAUUUGUGUUAAUAAUGACAAUUCCUACAUCUGUAAGUGCCAGGAGGGAUUUGUACUGAGAGAGGAUGGGAAAACGUGCAGAAAUAAGAACGUCUGCAAAUCAGUCAACCAUGGUUGUGAACAUGUUUGUGUAAAUAAUGAUAAUUCAUACACCUGUCAGUGCCAUGAGGGAUUUGUGCUAAGAGAGGAUGGGAAAACAUGCAGAAAUAAAGACCUCUGUAAGUCCAUUGACCACGGAUGUGAACAGGUUUGUGUUAAUGAUGACAUUUCAUACACCUGCCAGUGCCAUGAGGGGUUCAUACUAAGAAAGGAUGGGAAAACAUGCAGAAAUAAGGAUGCCUGCAAAUCAGUUGACCCUGGCUGUGAACAUAUUUGCGUUAAUACUGACAGUUCAUACAUCUGCAAGUGCCAUGAGGGAUUUGUACUGAGAGAGGAUGGGAAAACAUGUAGAAAUAAAGACCUCUGCAAAACGGUUGAUCAUGGCUGUGAACAUAUUUGCAUUAAUAAUGACCCUUCCUACGUCUGCAAGUGCCAUGAGGGAUUUGUACUACAAGAAGAUGGGAAAAUGUGCAGAAGAUGCACUGAAGGCCCAAUUGAUCUGGUGUUCGUGAUUGAUGGAUCAAAAAGUCUUGGAGAGGAUAAUUUUGAAGUUGUAAAGGAAUUUGUCUCUGGAAUCUUGGAUUCUCUUGAGAUUUCUCCCAAAGCUGCUCGAGUUGGUUUGCUGCAGUAUUCCUCUCAAGUUCGCACAGAGUUCACAUUAAGACAAUUCAGCACAGCCAAAGACAUGAAAAAAGCAGUAUCCCAAAUGAAAUACAUGGGGAAAGGCUCCAUGACUGGACUUGCCUUGAAACAAAUGUUUGAGAGAAGCUUUACUGAAGCAGAAGGGGCAAGGCCAUUUUCAGCAGAAGUGCCCAGGGUGUCUAUAGUGUUUACAGAUGGACGAGCCCAAGAUGAAGUCUCUGAGUGGGCCAGCAAAGCAAAGCAGAAUGGUAUAACUAUCUAUGCUGUUGGAAUAGGAAAAGCAAUUGAGGAAGAAUUACUGGAAAUUGCUUCUGAGCCACCAGACAAACAUCUCUUCUAUGCUGAAGACUUCAGUACCAUGGGGGAGAUAAGUGAAAAACUAAAAAAACGAAUCUGUGAAGCUUUGGAAGAGUCAGAUCCCCAUCAGGAUCCACUGACAGGGAGACCUCACAAGACUGGUCCUCAUUCUUCAGGAUCUGAACCAGCCAGCAUAGCCGUCACAGACCUCCUUGCCUGUUCCAAUUUUGCAGUACAUCACAAGUAUCUUUUUGAAGAGGAGAGUGUUUCACAGUCAACAGCAAGAUCAGCAAACCCUUCAAAAGAUAAGGAGCAGUGCAACUGUGAAAAUCUCAUGACAUUCCAGAACCAUGCCAAUGCUGAAGUAAAAAAACUAACUCAGCGAUUGGAAGAAAUAACUAAGAGAAUGGAAGCCCUGGAAAACAGACUAAGAUACUGAUGAAGAGUUCUUAACAGAAGUAUACACUGUACUGUAUAUUUAUACAUACAAGUUGCAACAAAGCUAUUUUCUUAAAGCAGUACAAAGCUAUGUAGCACAAAUCUUUUUGUGUUUGAGGGAAAAGGACAUUUUUGGACCCAAUAUUUACAUACUGAGUAUUCCAGGUGUUUGAGCAACAUUCAAGUAAGUUUGCCAUCUGCCUUCUACAUCCAGAACACACACAAUGUCCUCUCACCUAGCACUCUAGUCAUUGGACAGAAUUCACAAUUAUUGGGUCCCAGUCUAUAUUCUACUCUAUCACCUUGUAAACUCUUCAGGUCAAGGGUCUUUUCUUAUGUGUUCUAUCUAGCCUAGUCAUGCAAGUUUCCUCCAGAUAAAGGGCAGAAUAUGGGGCACUAAAUGUUUCAGGGAGAAUGGUCCUCAGGUGAAUUUACAUUCAAAUAUUCCAAUUUGAGAGCCAUAUAGAAGAUACUGUUUUCUCUGAAGCAGAUUCUCUCAGGCCAAACAAUCCUACACUUGUUGGAUAACUCAACAGUAGAGCUGAGCAAAUUACUAAUUAUUCAAUGUGGUAGUGUUAAAAAAAAUAAAAUUAAAAAAUUAAAAAUAAAAUUAGUUUCAAAGUGACACUGAAUUUGUUUCUUACCACAACAAAACCCCAGAUUUCAACUUAACGGUGCUGGGCAAAAGCUUUCCUGAACUGCAAUUUCACCCUCUCUUCCAGUCUCUGAAAAAAAAAAUUACCACCUGUGGGAGCCUUUUGGUCAUGAGUAAAUCUACUUACAUGUCUUAGGCCACAGCUGUGACAGCAGAUGUUCUCUCAGGGGAACAUGGACACUUUUACAGAUGAAAACCAUCUCUCUUCCCAAGACACCUGAAAGGUGUUUUCUCUCCCUCCCAAAGUCCUUUAGGUUGCUGCCAUCCUCUCUCCUUGGAGAGUUUUAUAUUGCUUUUUUCUUGCUCUGCAUGUAACAAUUUAAAGUACAGGCAAGCAAUAUAGAAUAUUAGUGUUGGAAGAGACCUCAGGAGAUCUAGUCCAGUCCCCUGUUCAAAGUAUACAUGUUCCUUUUUGAUUGCAGCUUGUCAAAAUAGUCAUUUCCUAGCUUUUCUGUCCAAAAAAGCAGUAGCCUUUUUUGCACCUUCUUGUUAAAGAGCAGUUCAUCCAUUGUGAGGAUGCAAAUAUUACAGGAACAAGUUUGUGGGGUUAAGUGACAUCCCUCCAUGCAGACUCAAGAGUAAUGGUUUGCAGUUCCUGGUACCUCCAAAUUUUGCAUGUGUUUACAACACAACAGCUUGAAGACCAUUUUCUUGGGUACUUGACAAUUAUGCAACUCUUGCAUGAAUGUAUACAGCUUUAGCUUAUACUGCUUUGUAAACAUAUCUUGUAAUGUCCUGUUAAUUUUAUAUCUACUUAAGUACAAUUCAUUUUUGAGAAUGAAUAGAUUUAAUUUUCAAAAGUAUUUACUGGUUUGACUCAAAUUCGUAAUACACAUCUCCCCUUGCAACAUGUUAACUGGUAAAGAAAAACAUGACUGUUUUACAAUGGUAGUCUCAAACUAGACUGAAGCAGUAAGUGGUGGCAUUCUGUAAUCAUGCUGUUAGAUUGCAUCCAAUUUGUGUGUGUGCGCGCGCAAAAGAUCCAUUAGUUCUUCAGACUAGUCAUAAAAAAAGUUACAUAUAGCUUGUUAGAGCUUUAGUUAAGUAAGAGGUUUCAAAUCUGACAUUUAGCUCACACAUCCCUUUCUAGAACUGAGAAGAGUUUCAUCUUAUAUGCUUCCUAGCAUACAGCAACAGUUUGUUUUGCUUGAUAUCAGCAUUAGUAUCUGCUCAUGGGAGUUUAUAGACACCCAAAAUACAAAUAUUAUGCCUAUAAUUGAAUAUGGUGGCUGAUGGAUCCUGGCACACACAAUGUCUCUCCCCCCCCGAACUUUAAAUCUCAAUGUUUACAUAUAGACAAUUAACUUUUGUUUAGCAUACAAAUUAAGUGGUAUCCAGUAAAAACUGUCCAAUUUGAAUAACUGGAAUUUAAACAGGCAAAUUGUACAUUUCAUAAUCAUUUUUAAAAUAAACUUCCUUUUAACGAGAGGAUCCUAAGAGUCAAAGAUCAGUGGGGUUAAUUCUUCUAAUAUCAGAGGAUUUAGUUAAGUAACUUCCUUCAUGUUUUAUUGUGAUGUAUAAUGGAUGUCACUUGAAGGGAUUCUUACAGUUCAGAACAGAUUUAAUAUUAAUAGUCAAUGACUGAUUCAGCAUACAUCAAAAGGGGAAAUACACUUUACUACAAUUCUGUGUAUGUGUAUUUUGUAUGCCUCUAUUAAAGAUAGAUUGCUGAAAAGUUGGAGCC